rnacentral:rRNA from 1 species
AGCGAACGCUGGCGGUAUGCUUAACACAUGCAAGUCGAGCGCGAAAGUGACUUCGGUCAUGAGUAGAGCGGCGGACGGGUGAGUAACACGUGGAUAAUCUGCCUUUAGGACUGGGAUAACCCUGGGAAACUAGGGCUAAUACCGGAUAAGACCACAGGUUCCAUGGAACCAGGGGUAAAAGGCGGCCUUCGGGCUGUCGCCGAAAGAUGAGUCCGCGUCCCAUCAGGUAGUUGGUGAGGAACGGCUCACCAAGCCGAAGACGGGUAGCCGACCUUAGCGGGUGAUCGGCCACACGGGGACUGAGACACGGCCCCGACUCCUACGGGAGGCAGCAGUGGGGAAUCUUGGGCAAUGGGCGCAAGCCUGACCCAGCAAUACCGCGUGAGGGAUGAAGGCCUUC